rnacentral:rRNA from 1 species
ACAUGCAAGUCGAGGGGCAGCAUCAUUAAAGCUUGCUUUGAUGGAUGGCGACCGGCGCACGGGUGAGUAACACGUAUCCAACCUGCCGACAACACUGGGAUAGCCUUUCGAAAGAAAGAUUAAUACCGGAUGGCAUAGUCUUCCCGCAUGGGAUGACUAUUAAAGAAUUUCGGUUGUCGAUGGGGAUGCGUUCCAUUAGGCAGUUGGCGGGGUAACGGCCCACCAAACCAACGAUGGAUAGGGGUUCUGAGAGGAAGGUCCCCCACAUUGGAACUGAGACACGGUCCAAACUCCUACGGGAGGCAGCAGUGAGGAAUAUUGGUCAAUGGACGAGAGUCUGAACCAGCCAAGUAGCGUGAAGGAUGACUGCCCUAUGGGUUGUAAACUUCUUUUAUACGGGAAUAAAGUGAGCCACGUGUGGCUUUUUGUAUGUACCGUAUGAAUAAGGAUCGGCUAACUCCGUGCCAGCAGCCGCGGUAAUACGGAGGAUCCGAGCGUUAUCCGGAUUUAUUGGGUUUAAAGGGAGCGUAGGCGGGUUGUUAAGUCAGUUGUGAAAGUUUGCGGCUCAACCGUAAAAUUGCAGUUGAUACUGGCGACCUUGAGUGCAACAGAGGUAGGCGGAAUUCGUGGUGUAGCGGUGAAAUGCUUAGAUAUCACGAAGAACUCCGAUUGCGAAGGCAGCUUACUGGAUUGUAACUGACGCUGAUGUUCGAAAGUGUGGGUAUCAAACAGGAUUAGAUACCCUGGUAGUCCACACAGUAAACGAUGAAUACUCGCUGUUGGCGAUAUACGGUCAGCGGCCAAGCGAAAGCAUUAAGUAUUCCACCUGGGGAGUACGCCGGCAACGGUGAAACUCAAAGGAAUUGACGGGGGCCCGCACAAGCGGAGGAACAUGUGGUUUAAUUCGAUGAUACGCGAGGAACCUUACCCGGGCUUAAAUUGCAACUGACUGA